GAUGAACGCUGGCGGCGUGCUUAACACAUGCAAGUCGAACGGUGAAGGCGGAGCUUGCUCUGCUGGAUCAGUGGCGAACGGGUGAGUAACACGUGAGCAAUCUGCCCCUGACUCUGGGAUAAGCGCUGGAAACGGCGUCUAAUACUGGAUACGAGCUGCGAAGGCAUCUUCAGCAGCUGGAAAGAAUUUCGGUCAGGGAUGAGCUCGCGGCCUAUCAGCUUGUUGGUGAGGUAAUGGCUCACCAAGGCGUCGACGGGUAGCCGGCCUGAGAGGGUGACCGGCCACACUGGGACUGAGACACGGCCCAGACUCCUACGGGAGGCAGCAGUGGGGAAUAUUGCACAAUGGGCGAAAGCCUGAUGCAGCAACGCCGCGUGGGGGACGACGGCCUUCGGGUUGUAACCUCUUUUAGCAGGGAAGAAGCGAAAGUGACGGUACCUGCAGAAAAAGCGCCGGCUAACUACGUG
rnacentral:rRNA from 1 species